UUGCUUUCUCCAGCAGCACAUAUACUAAAAUUGGAAUGAUGCAGAAAAGAAUAGCGUGAUCCCUGUGCAAGGAUAACAUUUACAUUUGUGAAGCAUUCAGUAUUUUU
ensembl:snRNA U6 U6 spliceosomal RNA